CUGAGGGUAGUUUUAACUAGAAUACUGGCUGUGGGAGUCAGUGGUAAAGGCUAAAUUCCUUUCCCUUAGA
rnacentral:tRNA from 1 species